CCAGCAGACUCUCCCUCCCAGACCCUCCUACUUCCUGGACAGCAUCCAUGUUGAAACAGGAAGUAGGAGGGUCUGGGAGGGAGGGUCUGCUGAAGAUUGG